rnacentral:lncRNA from 1 species
CCGUUGAAGAACACUGUGACAUAGCUAGAAGUAUGUUAGAAAAGUCUUAACAACCAAAUCUAUUACAAGAAAGAGUUCUGAAAAAGGCAUUGGGUAAACGAUCACGAGAGUGGAUUCCGUUACACGAUUGUAAACAUUAUGACAACUUCCCCAAACUGACAGUAGAUUAUUUACGAUCUCUUACAUUUGACUUUAACCAAUUAUACCAGGC